GUGCCCAGAGAUCCACGAUCAACCAGCUGAUUCAUUUGAUGUUGAACCAGAUUUCAACCAAACUGUACCCCAAUUCCUGCAAAGUGCUCUUGAAAGUUCUGCUGUUUUAGAACAAAAACUUGGACUGUCUAGUGAAAUGAUGAAAUUAGCCAAUGUCCGGCUGGACAAAAUGAAGAAGGACAAAAGAGCAAAUAUGGAUGAAAAUGAAGAUGAUGUGUCAGAAAUGAUAGACAGAUACCUACCAUCAGAGGCCCUUUUUCUGCAGCUUCAACCAAAAGGAAAAUAAAAAAGAUGCGGGAUUUGGCUGAAGAACUCAGCAUUCAUGCAAAAGUUCAAACCAUCUUAUGCUAUGUAGCACCAAACAAAAAAAUCCA